rnacentral:rRNA from 1 species
AUCGUACGGGAGGCAGCAGUGGGGAAUCUUCCGCAAUGGGCGAAAGCCUGACGGAGCAACGCCGCGUGAGUGAAGACGGCCUUCGGGUUGUAAAGCUCUGUUAUACGGGACGAAAAGUCUUGUGGUUAAUACCCAUGAGAAGUGACGGUACCGUAAGAGAAAGCCACGGCUAACUACGUGCCAGCAGCCGCGGUAAUCGAU